rnacentral:rRNA from 1 species
UGCAAGUCGAACGAAGUCUUCGGACUUAGUGGCGGACGGGUGAGUAACACGUGGGAACGUGCCUUUAGGUUCGGAAUAACUCAGGGAAACUUGUGCUAAUACCGAAUGUGCCCUUCGGGGGAAAGAUUUAUCGCCUUUAGAGCGGCCCGCGUCUGAUUAGCUAGUUGGUGAGGUAAAGGCUCACCAAGGCGACGAUCAGUAGCUGGUCUGAGAGGAUGAUCAGCCACAUUGGGACUGAGACACGGCCCAAACUCCUACGGGAGGCAGCAGUGGGGAAUCUUGCGCAAUGGGCGAAAGCCUGACGCAGCCAUGCCGCGUGAAUGAUGAAGGUCUUAGGAUUGUAAAAUUCUUUCACCGGGGACGAUAAUGACGGUACCCGGAGAAGAAGCCCCGGCUAACUUCGUGCCAGCAGCCGCGGUAAUACGAAGGGGGCUAGCGUUGCUCGGAAUUACUGGGCGUAAAGGGAGCGUAGGCGGACAUUUAAGUCAGGGGUGAAAUCCCGGGGCUCAACCUCGGAAUUGCCUUUGAUACUGGGUGUCUUGAGUGUGAGAGAGGUAUGUGGAACUCCGAGUGUAGAGGUGAAAUUCGUAGAUAUUCGGAAGAACACCAGUGGCGAAGGCGACAUACUGGCUCAUUACUGACGCUGAGGCUCGAAAGCGUGGGGAGCA